rnacentral:rRNA from 1 species
UACGAGGGGGGCUAGCGUUGCUCGGAAUCACUGGGCGUAAAGCGCACGUAGGCGGCUUCUUAAGUCAGGGGUGAAAUCCUGGAGCUCAACUCCAGAACUGCCUUUGAUACUGAGAAGCUUGAGUCCGGGAGAGGUGAGUGGAACUGCGAGUGUAGAGGUGAAAUUCGUAGAUAUUCGCAAGAACACCAGUGGCGAAGGCGGCUCACUGGCCCGGUACUGACGCUGAGGUGCGAAAGCGUGGGGAGCAAACAGG